rnacentral:rRNA from 1 species
AGUCAACAUGCCCAGGGGACGUGGAUAACCUCGGGAAACUGAGGAUAAACCGCGAUAGGCCAUGAUUUCUGGAAUGGUUCAUGGCCGAAAUCUAUGUGGCCCCUGGAUUGGACUGCGGCCGAUCAGGCUGUUGGUGAGGUAAUGGCCCACCAAACCUGUAACCGGUACGGGCUCUGAGAGGAGGAGCCCGGAGAUGGGCACUGAGACAAGGGCCCAGGCCCUAUGGGGCGCAGCAGGCGCGAAAUCUCUGCAAUAGGCGAAAGCUUGACAGGGUUACUCUGAGUGGUUCCCGUUAAGGGGAUCUUUCGGCACCUUUAAAAAUGGUGCAGAAUAAGGGGUGGGCAAGUCUGGUGUCAGCCGCCGCGGUAAUACCAGCACCCCGAGUGGUCGGGACGAUUAUUGGGCCUAAAGCAUCCGUAGCCGGUACUGCAAGUCUUCCGUUAAAUCCACCUGCUUAACAGUUGGGCUGCGGGGGAUACUACAGCGCUAGGAGGCGGGAGAGGCAAGCGGUACUCAAUGGGUAGGGGUAAAAUCCGCUGAUCCAUUGA